UACGUAGGGUGCGAGCGUUGUCCGGAAUUAUUGGGCGUAAAGGGCUCGUAGGCGGUUUGUCGCGUCGGGAGUGAAAACCAGGUGCUUAACACCUGGCUUGCUUUCGAUACGGGCAGACUAGAGGUAUUCAGGGGAGAACGGAAUUCCUGGUGUAGCGGUGAAAUGCGCAGAUAUCAGGAGGAACACCAAUGGCGAAGGCAGCACUCUGGGACGUGACUGACGCUGAGACGCGAAAGCGUGGGGAGCAAACAGG
rnacentral:rRNA from 1 species